AGCAGUAGCCACGGGAAUACGUAGGGUGCAAGCGUUAAUCGGAAUUACUGGGCGUAAAGCGUGCGCAGGCGGUUAUAUAAGACAGAUGUGAAAUCCCCGGGCUCAACCUGGGAACUGCAUUUGUGACUGUAUAGCUAGAGUACGGCAGAGGGGGAUGGAAUUCCGCGUGUAGCAGUGAAAUGCGUAGAUAUGCGGAGGAACACCGAUGGCGAAGGCAAUCCCCUGGGCCUGUACUGACGCUCAUGCACGAAAGCGUGGGGAGCAAACAGGAUUAGAUACCCCCGUAGUCCCUGUCUCUUAUAA
rnacentral:rRNA from 1 species